GCCGUGGUCGUAUAGUGGUUAGUACAUUGUGUUUUGGCCGCACUAAUCCUGGUUCGAAUCCUGGUCACAGCA
rnacentral:tRNA from 1 species